UAUGUAGGGUGCGAGCGUUAAUCGGAAUUACUGGGCGUAAAGCGUGCGCAGGCGGAUUGUUAAGCAAGAUGUGAAAUCCCCGGGCUCAACCUGGGAAUUGCAUUGGAUACUGGCAGGCUAGAGUGCGGUAGAGGGUAGUGGAAUUCCCGGUGUAGCAGUGAAAUGCGUAGAGAUCGGGAGGAACAUCUGUGGCGAAGGCGACUACCUGGACCAGCACUGACACUGAGGCACGAAAGCGUGGGGAGCAAACAGG
rnacentral:rRNA from 1 species